GUAGGGAGCAAGCGUUGUUCGGAAUUAUUGGGCGUAAAGAGCGCGUAGGCGGCCAGGUAAGUCUGAUGUGAAAUCCCACAGCUCAACUGUGGAACUGCAUUGGAAACUGCUUGGCUAGAGUGCGGGAGAGGAGAGUGUAAUUCCCAGUGUAGAGGUGAAAUUCGUAGAUAUUGGGAGGAACACCAGUGGCGAAGGCGGCUCUCUGGACCGCAACUGACGCUGAGGCGCGAAAGCUAGGGGAGCGAACGGGAUUAGAUACCCCGGUAGUCCUAGCCGUAAACGAUGGGCACUAGGUGUGGGAGGUAUCGACCCCUUCUGUGCCGUAGCUAACGCAUUAAGUGCCCCCGCCUGGGAGUACGGUCGCAAGACUA
rnacentral:rRNA from 1 species